GCACUAAACAAUCCUCACACCAUGACUGAUGGCCUGGUCGUGGGGUAGAAAAGAACCGACGACAAGCAGCGUUUUAAGGUCUGUGUCUGGCUGGUUGAUCUAAAGUCCGAACCCAAAUCAGGCCGAUUCUGGUUUACGAAGACAAUUUGCUUCCUUGCAAAGAUAUGUUAUUACCUUCUGUCAUUGAUUGUCUUAGUAUUUUCGAUUACUUUAAUGAGGUAAGAAAGUGUGAAGUAUAACAUGUUACUAGAAUUCUAGUAAAGCAAUGCAUAGACAGAGAGAAAAUACAAAGAGAAUACAUUUACUUUAAAAGUAGAACGUUGCAGCACACAACCACUGUAGUACUGAGGUAACAGGAUGCAUGUUUCACGCAGUAAUAGGAUACCAAGCAGAGUGUGUCACCUCAGUGUUUGCCAACAUGCACGGAGCAGUGGUGCAGCACAGCAGCUGGAUUAUUGGCGCCACUGCAAGGCACGAGACCCUGCCUCGCUGGGCCGGGCUACCUUGAAAAGGAGAUUGUUAAAUCUUAAUGGGCUCCCCUUGUUAAAAAAAAAAAGGUUAAAUCUUUCUUUUGAAGAUAUUCAAUUUGGUUUUAUUUAAAAACAUGUCAGUGCCCCCCCACUGCUCCACCCUCAGUUGUUAGAUUGUCAUUGUUGGAAGUGGAGAUAUAUUUUGGAAGAAUACAGACCACUAGAAAGUGUUAGAAUUGUGUUAGAAUUAUUAAAAACACAUAUUGUGUGUGGCAUUUGCUCAUGAAUGGCUUUAGAGUCCUAGAUGAAGGAAUAGAGUGACCACAUUUUCAAACUCCCAAACCGGGACCCUUAAGUGCACUGUGCGUUCACGCUUGUGCACAUGUUUGCGCUCGGCAAAAGUCCCCUGCUGAGAUUCCCAUUUCAGAUCACUGUCACCGGCAUUUGACUCUAUAGAGUAGGGCGCAACUGUGCUAGUUCCCGCUCGCAGCAACCGCUUAUGGUUGGCCGUCUUAAUAUGAUCUUUUAUGUCUGCAUUUCCACCGCGCGUGACCAAAAUUGUACUCUUGCAGCGUCGGCAGAAUACAGAAUUUUCUUUGCUGGCUAUUUCCUAAGAAAAGUGCAAGCCUUCUAGAGGUCUGCUGACAGACUGCCAGACAGAGUCUAAAGCAUCAAAGGCUAGCAGUAGACUUUGAUUGAUUGAAAUGGAUACAGACAAUCAGUGAUGAAAUUGUGGUGCAAUGUUUAUGUUUUUUGAUUGGGUUAGGUAAUAAUGAGUGGGAAAGAGGAUGAUAAACGCUGAAAACAAGUAUAUUGUCGUUAUUAUAUUUAAUUGUGGUGAAUAGCGGGACAAAAUAGGGACAAUUUAGUGUUUAAUAGAUAUUUUGGGCAACCAGGUGAAAAUGUCAGGUGAACCGGGACGUUGGAUUAAUGUAUGUAGGUAGCAUAAAGAGAAAAGUUAUAAUUGGAAAGGGAAAGCCCAAAGAUUGGAUUUUUUAAAACAGAAGCAACAGUAUUAUGAAACCUAGGCGAUGGGAUGGCUAUAAAAAUUGCUGACUUAAAAAACUGUGUUUGCACUGACAUUAAAGGCAGAAAAUUGAACAUCAGCGACGUGCACUCUCACAUCUGCACAAUGCACACGCACACCAGCACAGUGCACAUGCACAUCAACAUACGUGCACAUCUCACACACACCUCAGCACUGCUACUGGGAAAAAAAUUGCAGGGUACUGCACUUCUCCUACAUGUUCCCGCAUUUUCCCUGGCUCGCGACCUUCCCCGCCGAAACUCGCGAGAAGGAACAAUGUGCUGCUGUUAGCUUGCGGCGGUCGUUCUCCUUGCUACUGCCCUAGCUAGCUGCUUCCGCGACUCCCUUGAAUAUUCAUUUCCUCUGCUUGCAUCCCGCAUUGACUGUGACACAGAUUGCCAGCGCCGGCUGGAUUAACAUGCAGGACUUCUAAUUCUCUGGCUGUCACGGUGGCUUCCCGUCAGGCCCCAGAUAUGCGCAGCGGGGUUUGCUAAUUGGAAGUUGUUAGCUACAAGGGACAAGCGGAGGAAAAUGACGGUAAUCUGCUUAGCUGUGUACUGGAGGUUCAAGCACUGAUUUGUUAUGAUUGAGGAGGCUCUCCCCCAACUCCCUAUUCUCUCUCUCUCUCUCUCUCUCUCUCUCUCUCUCUCUCUCUCCCUCUCUCCCUCUCUCCCUCUCUCUCUCUCUCUCUCUCUCUCUCUCUCUCUCUGUCUAUGUCUCCAUCUCUGUCUCUCUCUCUGUCUCCCUCUCCUAAGAAUGGUAUCUCUUGAUGCCUUUGUUUAUAGAUCAAAAAGAUCAUUUGUGUGCUGAUCACUCUUUUUAAACCUCUGUAUGAAGUAACAUAAAACACAAACGGUUUGACCAAGACGAAAAAAAGAGCAUGGAUGCUUUCUUUUUUUACUCUGUAGGUUAUGUUAAGGUUAUGAUGUUAUUUUUCGUUUGACCUCAUAGUAUUAUUAUACUUGAGCAAUAGGGUAACAAUCCCUCUGAAUAAAAGACAUGAAAGCAUUUGAAUGAAGAACACUUAUCUGUAAUGUAAUUCAGCUGGACUACUCUUUCCAUGAUAAAAUUGCUAAAUAAUAGCUAUAUACAUAGUAGUCAUUUUGUUAUAUAUAAUAGUAAAUAAAUGACUACUACCUAAAUACAAUCAAAGGCACACAGUACUUGGUUUAAAAAUGUAUGUGGAAACACAAAUUGGACUGAGCCGCAAAGUUGAAUUAUCAAUCAAGAUUAUUGCACAGGACAUAUCUGUCUCGAAUCCCCACCGUGACCAAAGAGAUGCCCAUGGAUGCCGCAGUAUUACAGGCCUAUUGUAGAUCAAUCAUUAUGUGUGGUUGUUUUGCCCUUAGCCUCCUCUCAGCAGUGCGGCGUGGACCAUAUGGUUUUAUGAAGAGCUGUAGUUUUAUAAAAUAUGCGGGUUGCCCAAUGUACACACACACACACACACACACACACACACACACACACACACACACACACACACACACACACACACACACACACACACACACACACACACACACACACACACACACACACACACACACACACACACACAAGCUCUCUGCAUCCACUUCACUUACACAAGGCUUAAAUACAAGCCAGCAAAUUCACAAUGAAGCAGUCAUCAUAGCAUUGAACAAAGGAUAAUAAACACAUAGAUAGGCAAAUUGUACUGACAGUUUUUGCCAUACACACACAUUACUUAUUUGUAAAUCAUAUUCGUGAGUUUGGUGUGCUACAUACAGCAAUUUCUUUUAUCGGACUCCACAUGUUUGCAUUAAUAAUGUGAACAUAAACAUAGGAAAGCUUAGAAAAUAUCUGGAUUCCCAAAAGACAAACCAGCAGCCAACUGAAGACAGCCAGCUCACUUAUUCUCAAAGUAUUUUUCCAACAGGCUAGCACUAGCAUAGCCCCAUGGCUCACUAAUCCUGCUAAAAUUAUAUUUUGCUAAUGCAUAGACCUACAGGCAGUGUGACUAUGGUGAAAUAUAAUUGGCUAAUGCACUGGGAUGAUACCAUAAUAGCUUCUAGCAUUACAUCAUGUUAGCAUAAUUUCCAUACUAGCCCAUAGGUCUCCACCAGACAGUGUGCUAGGGUUAAAUACUGGGCUAAAUCACUAGCAUAACAUCAUGUUCCGCACAAUGUUAGCACUGUGCUAGUAUGUUAGCAUAAUAGCUAUGUUAGCCCAUAGACCUCCACCAGGCUAGGGCUGUGUGGCUAGGGUUAAAUACUUGGCUGUUUCACAGAGGGCGGCUCGCAGAGGGGGCAGCAGAAGUAUCUUCCCACAGUGAGUUGAAUUAGUAAUGGGUGGAAAUAAAGGGACCCCAGUGGUGAUCUAAUCCCCCCGAUGUAGCACCAGCUAACAACAUAGUUCCCUUCCUUUCUGCUGGCUUUUAACUAUACCCUAUGGGCCCUUGUUCAACUGGCGGCAAUCUUGGUCCUCGCAGCGAUUGUGGGAUCUAGCCUUCUAUUCCCCCAACCCAGCUAGCGUUUGAAAGCAAGACCGCCGCUAGGUGAAUAAAACCCUAGGGCUGCGGGCUAACGGUGGCUAAUGUUGCUUCGGUUUGCUGGUGGGGAAGAAUGUAAAAUGAGUGAAUCCAGUGACAAAAAUGAGUGAAUCCAGUGUUAGUAGCAACAGACAAAAAUGCUCAACAAAUGUAGAGGAAGAUAUCCAGCUGGAUGUGUUGUGUUCUCUCAGAAUAAACCUCCCAGCGUUGCUUGUCAUGUUGGCAGCCCAGUUGUUGUUGUUGUUGUUGUGUAGAUUGCUCUGGGCUCAUUUUAGAGAGAGAAAUAAGCUUUCUUUUACAUCUUGUACCAUGUUUCUUAACGGCUCCAGCUGAAUUAGUUACAAUGAAAUGUGUUUUUUAAUUUUAAUGACCAACAACUCUAUUCACUCUUUGCCUGCCACAGAUAUCCCCAACAAAUUAGUCGAGUUUGUCUUAAGGAGAUUUUGUUUUUGUAAUCGACUGAGGUAGUAAUGCCCUCAUAUACAUAUAUGCACACUGUUCUUGCACCACCCAAUUGUCACUACGGCAACGGGGCGGGGAGGGGCCCUGGGGUAGUGGGAAUGAUUGGGUCGGGGUGGUGGUUGUGGGAGAGGGGUGGGAGGGUGGAUUGUGGGGUCAGUGUGACUGCGGUGCCCGUGAAGGGAGCGCUUGUUUCCUGGGAAAGUGAGCCGGGGCCAAGUCCAGAUGCCGAGGCCGUCCCUGGGGACGGCGUAGCGCUAUAGAGCUGCAGGAUGUAGAGAGAGAGAGGGGGAGUGGGGGGGGGAGUCAGACACAGAGAGGGAGCGAGAGAGAUACAGAGAGAGUGGGAAACAGAGAGAGGGAGACAGAGAGAUACUCAAGCACAGAGAGAGAAGGACAGACGUGAAGACUGAAAGAGAGAGAGAGAGAGAGAGAGAGAGAGAGAGAGAGAGAGAGAGAGAGAGAGAGAGAGAGAGAGAGAGAGAGAGAGAGAGAGGGAGGCACACUGACAGAGAGAGAGA